AAAGCUCCUUUUCCACCUGCACAGAUGCCACAAGUCCCAGUUGAUGAAAUGACACUGAAGAGAACACAGCUAUAUCUUUCCACACGUCAACAACUACUACCUCAGUAUAAAUUACUAGAAGUGGAACUGCAAGAUCAAGAGGCAUGGAAAAUAGUAUCAAAGACACCUAUGGAAAGCAUUUACCAAUUUACUUCCAUCAAGAGUAUUUGGGGGCUUCCUUGUUGACUCAAAAAUAAAGA
rnacentral:lncRNA from 1 species